GGAAUCUUGCGCAAUGCGCGAAAGCGUGACGCAGCAACGCCGCGUGGGGGAAGAAGGCCUUCGGGUUGUAAACCCCUUUCAGGAGGGACGAAGGUUCGGCGGUGAAUAGCCGUCCGGACUGACGGUACCUCCACAAGAAGCCCCGGCUAACUACGUGCCAGCAGCCGCGGUAAUACGUAGGGGGCAAGCGUUGUCCGGAAUCAUUGGGCGUAAAGCGCGCGUAGGCGGCCCGGUAAGUCCGCUCUGAAAGUCCAGGGCUCAACCCUGGAAAGCGGGUGGAUACUGCCGGGCUAGAAUCCGGAAGAGGCGAGUGGAAUUCCUGGUGUAGCGGUGGAAUGCGCAGAUAUCAGGAGGAACACCAAUAGCGAAGGCAGCUCGCUGGGACGGUAUUGACGCUAAGGCGCGAAAGCGUGGGGAGCAAACAGG
rnacentral:rRNA from 1 species